ensembl:lncRNA
UGUGGCCAAAGGCACCGACCUCCAUCUUCCUGCCUCGGGUACCGCUGCUGCCGCUGUCCGAGGUGUAACCCUGCAGCAAGUUGGGAAUUUAUAAUAUCCCAUAAACCCUCUCUAUCUGAAAGGUCAUUUUAGCGCUAAUACAGCUCAGGCAUUACGGUUUCAUUUGUGACACUUUUACGAAUCGGCGCUUAAUUCCGACGCAGCUGCCGUAAAACCUUUACAGCGCUGUUCUCUGCCUCAAAAAAUAACCUUUAAAAGCCACGAGCUGGAACGUCUUCAUCAGCGCCGUCUGACAGGGCUGGUCCUGGGCUCAUGGGGCUCUCCAGGGGACAAAAUCGGGCUCCAGGUGCCCUGACUGCCACACAUGUGGCAUGGGGAGUCCUGGCUCCCACCUCCUUGGCUUUUAACCAUCAGAGUCCUCAAACUGGGGUUUUCCACCCCGUUAUCCACAGCUCCAUCCCAGCGGUCUGCCUCCCAUCGGGCUGAAUUAAAGUUCUCCUAAUUUCCUAUGAAAUUCACUCCUUACCAAACCCCGGCGUGGUCCAGAAAGCCAUUUCCUUAGCACUAAAACGGCUAAAUUAGUCUUGCUCGGAGUUGUAAAGGAGCUUGUCUUGUUUAUUGAGCGAUAAAUAUAAAGGUACAGUAACUAAAUUCAUCAGUCCCUAAACAUAGCCACUGGGAACGGCCGUUUCCGACAUCCAAUCUACAACCACAUGAAUAUUUCAGAGUCCUCUCUCCCUUGGGCACUCGCCUUAUCUCUGGAGCCUGGAUAUUAUUUUCUGCUUUUCAGCUUUUUCGAUGUAUUGGAGGAAAUGUCAUUAUUUGGACCUGUGUGGAUUACAGUUGACUUUUCUAAGCCAAUUUAUAUUGGCAAGCUGCUGUUUUUAAAACCCCCUAUAAAUCACUCCUAUGAAUUUUAAUAAUAUAAUGUGGUUUCAAACACGCUCCCUUAAUACGUGACACACUAUUACACCAGCAACAGCUCCCCGGGUCACGAACUCCGUUCCAUCGGAGCACGAUGUGGGACCCUACAGAGUGCACUGAGCUGGCUGCUCCAGGGUGCAGAGCCAAAACCCAGUCCUGUUCCUGCACACAGAGCCUCCCACUGGUCCACCAGCAGCCUGAAAAGCAGAACUGGGGAUUGGGAUAUCAGGGAACUCAAUGGUCAUCACAGGCAGCAGGGAUACACGGAGCAUCGGUCACCACCUGCAGUACCAGGAGAGUGCAUUGCUGGCAGCAGGGCUGAGCAUUGGGUAUGUGGCCACCACCUGCAGUAAGAACCAGAAUGGCUGGGUUGGGAGGGACCUCAUAGCCCACCCAUCUCCACCUCCUGCCGGGGUCUGGUUGCCCCACCAGCUCAGGCUGUCCAGGGCACCAUCCAUGGCCUUGGGUACCUCCAAGGAUGGGGCUCUGUCUUUGUUCCAGCUGAGAUUGAAUUCUUUUCAUCAGAGCACAUGGCACGAUGAUAUGUUUUGGGUCUAGGAGAACACAGCUGAUGUUUAUAGUUGCUGCUAAGCAGUGUUGUAAGAAGCCAAGGCCAUUAAUCUCAGCCAAGGGCCCAAGGAGUUGGGAGGGAACAGAAUGAGGACAGCUGAAUUAACUGGCAAAAACGACAUUCCAUACCAUAUGGAAGGAGAGUUUUGAAAGGGGUGGAAGUUCAUCUGUGGCUCUUCCACUUGCUGAGGAGCUAGUGUGGCAUCGGGGGUAGGGAGGGAUCACUUGUGCAUCACUUGUAUAUACAGUCAUAACUAUUAUCCUUCUCCUUUUCUCUAUCACAGUAAACAGCUUUACCUCAACCCAUGAGCUCUACUUUGUUUUUUUCUGACUCUCUCCCCAUCCCAACGGGAAUGGAGGAGUGAGUGAGCAGCUGUGCAGUGCCAAGCCACCCACCGGGCUAAACCACAACAGGCAUCCACACUGCUCUGUGCCAUGGAAGGGCUGAGAGGGACGGCGAGCAAAGCCCAGCGCCAAAAGGAGACUUUGGGAGACCUUCCAUGAACCAUGGAGCACCACCUUUGGUUCGGUGAUGUCCUCAGCUGCCAAUGGGAGCAACGUCUCCAACCCUAAAGCAAUCACUACCUUAAUGCCGCCAGAGAAACCCAACCUGUGCAGGGUUUUGCUGUGAUGAUUGAGCCUGAAAUGUUGUCAUGUUCGUCAUUAAUCUAUUUUUUCCCUUUCUGUAACUUAACCUGCAACGAGCAGACACUGUAAGUGCUUGAUUUUCCAAGAACAAAUUACAGUUUUAUAAAUGG